rnacentral:rRNA from 1 species
GACGUAGGAUGCAAGCGUUGUCCGGAAUUAUUGGGCGUAAAGAGUUCGUAGGUGGUUAUCUAAGUCUGGUGUUAAAGCCCGAAGCUCAACUUCGGCAUGGCAUUGGAAACUGGGUAGCUAGAGUGUGGUAGAGGUAUCGGGAAUUCCUGGUGUAGCGGUGAAAUGCGUAGAUAUCAGGAGGAACACCGGCGGCGAAAGCGCGAUACUGGGCCAUAACUGACGCUGAGGAACGAAAGCCAGGGGAGCGAAAGGG